rnacentral:rRNA from 1 species
AUGGAGCAAUUGGAGAAGAGGAUGGAUGCUGCAGAACAACAAAUCAAAGAGCUGUGUGAAGAUCUUAAUCGGAGAUUUGACCAGCUGGUUGAGAUGAUAAGAAAGGGUGUUCCCCUGCUGCCAAUGAAGAAGAUUCAUCUAAAGAAGAAGAUGUUCAACGACGAAGAAGGGGAGGUAAUCUUGGAACAAGAUCACCACAACAACGUGCAGUUCAGCGUAAUUCAAGAAGGCCAAUUUAUGUUGAAGCUUCUGAAGAUGAAGAAUAUGAGGAUGCCCUUGAAGAGCCUGAUCUCUAUGCAUAUCGGAGAGUACCCAACCCUACAUAUGCAAGGGAAACAUACAAGGUAA